AAAAAAAAAAAAACUUUUAAGUUCAUUAGACCACAUUCAUUCUGUGUCAGAAACCUAUGCUGUGUCAACUAUUUAAUUUUAGAUUUAAAAAGUUUGAAGAAAUCUUUAAUUGAUUUGUAAAAUCUUGACAUUUGUUUUGUGUAAAAAAAAAAACAUAUAAUGUCAAAAAUUUGAUCACAAUCCAAAUUCAGAGCUGUAUCACGCUUGAAUGUUUUGUCCAUACUUGCCCCAACUGUUCAGGGUUCGACCUCUGCGGUCGUAUAAAGCUGCGCCCUGCGGAGCACCUGGUUAUAGUUCGUUUAUGUUGUAC
rnacentral:lncRNA from 1 species